UACGGAGGGUGCAAGCGUUACUCGGAAUCACUGGGCGUAAAGGGCGCGUAGGCUGCCUAGCAAGUCUGGUGUGAAAGCCCAGGGCUUAACCCUGGAAGGGCACUGGAAACUGUUAGGCUUGAGUUCCGGAGAGGAGGGGGGAAUUCCCGGUGUAGCGGUGAAAUGCGUAGAGAUCGGGAGGAAUACCGGUGGCGAAGGCGCCCCUCUGGACGGAAACUGACGCUGAGGCGCGAAAGCGUGGGGAGCAAACAGG
rnacentral:rRNA from 1 species